rnacentral:rRNA from 1 species
ACCUGGUUGAUUCUGCCAGUAGUCAUAUGCUUGUCUCAAAGAUUAAGCCAUGCAUGUCUAAGUACAUGCCGUAUUAAGGCGAAACCGCGAAUGGCUCAUUAAAUCAGUUACGGUUCCUUAGAUGUUGACUGUCUACAUGGAUAACUGUGGUAAUUCUAGAGCUAAUACAUGCACAAAAGCUUUGACCUUUACGGAAAGAGCGCAUUUAUUAGAACAAGACCAAUGGGGUUCUUUACGGAACUCCUCAAUGUGGUGACUCUGGAUAACUAUUGCUAAUCACAUGGCCAAGUGCCGGUGAUGAAUCUUUCAAGUGUCUGCCUUAUCAACUGUCGAUGGUAGGUUAUGUGCCUACCAUGGUUGUAACGGGUAACGGGGAAUCAGGGUUCGAUUCCGGAGAGGGAGCCUGAGAAACGGCUACCACAUCCAAGGAAGGCAGCAGGCACGCAAAUUACCCAAUUCCAGAACGGAGAGGUAGUGACGAAAAAUAACAAUACGGGACUCUUAUGAGGCCCCGUAAUUGGAAUGAGAACAAUCUAAAUCCUUUAACGAGGAUCUAUUGGAGGGCAAGUCUGGUGCCAGCAGCCGCGGUAAUUCCAGCUCCAAUAGCGUAUAUUAAAGUUGUUGUGGUUAAAAAGCUCGUAGUUGGAUCUCAGUUCGAGUCAGACGGUCCACUUGCCAGUGGCUACUGUUUGACUGAACACUUUACCGAGUUGUCCUAUGGUGUUCUUCACCGAGCGUCAUAGGCGAUCGGUACGUUUACUUUGAAAAAAUUAGAGUGCUCAAAGCAGGCGUAACGCCCGAAUAAUGUUGCAUGGAAUAAUGGAAUAGGACCUCGGUUCUAUUUUGUUGGUCUUCGGAAUCUCAAGAAUGUUUUCAUUAAUCAAGAACGAAAGUUAGAGGUUCGAAGGCGAUCAGAUACCGCCCUAGUUCUAACCAUAAACGAUGCCAACCAGUAAUUAAGCUGUGUUCCUUAAAUGACACGCUUAGGGACUUCCGGGAAACCAAAGUCUUUCGGUUCCAGGGGAAGUAUGGUUGCAAAGCUGAAACUUAAAGAAAUUGACGGAAGGGCACCACCAGGAGUGGAGCCUGCGGCUUAAUUUGACCCAACACGGGAAAACUCACCCGGCCCGGACACUGGAAGGAUUGACAGAUUGAGAGCUCUUUCUUGAUUCAGUGGGUGGUGGUGCAUGGCCGUUCUUAGUUGGUGGAGUGAUUUGUCUGGUUAAUUCCGAUAACGAACGAGACUCUAGCCUACUAAAUAGAUCGUCGGCUUACAAACGCCGGCGAGACUUCUUAGAGGGACAGGCGGUGAUUCAACCGCACGAAACAGAGCAAUAACAGGUCUGUGAUGCCCUUAGAUGUCCGGGGCCGCACGCGCGCUACACUGAAGUGAUCAGCGUGCUUUUUCAACCUACUCUGUCAAGAGUGGGGAACCCAAUGAACCUUCUUCGUGAUUGGGAUAGGGGAUUGUAAUUAUUCCCCUUGAACGAGGAAUUCCCAGUAAGCGCGAGUCAUAAGCUCGCGUUGAUUACGUCCCUGCCCUUUGUACACACCGCCCGUCGCUACUACCGAUUGAAUG